rnacentral:rRNA from 1 species
AGAGCGAACGCUGGCGGCAGGCCUAACACAUGCAAGUCGAACGGACUCUUCGGGGUUAGUGGCGGACGGGUGAGUAACACGUGGGAACGUGCCUUUAGGUUCGGAAUAGCUCCUGGAAACGGGUGGUAAUGCCGAAUGUGCCCUUCGGGGGAAAGAUUUAUCGCCUUUAGAGCGGCCCGCGUCUGAUUAGCUUGUUGGUGAGGUAAAGUGCUACCAACGA